AUCCUUUUAUAGGUCAUAACUAUGAUCAUUGGGUUUUCACACUCAUGUGUGGUGAGAUGUACCUCCCUCAAACCUUGUUAUGACAUCAGCACAUUACCCAUCCAGUG